CUCUUUUAUGUUCCUUAGUUUCGUUCUUCGGAAAAAAUAACUGAACAAUGACGUCAUAGUCAAAAAAGAAGUCCAAAUUUGUUUUUUCACUGACAAUGAAUCAUGAUGACUGUACUGGAUAAACACAAGAUGUGAGGCAUCUUUGUCAAAUUAUGAUUGCUUAUGCAGCAGAUUUUUCCCACACGUUUUGCAAAAAUAAAUUAAGAUGUAACCAUCGAGCUCUUUUAAAAUCAUUCACUAUUUUCAGUACUUUCCUUCCUUAACAUCAGCCCACUUCUUUACGGAAUUUUCCUUGGCUCUGAAAGAUGCGUUCUUCUUUAUGGCUGGCAAUCUUCGUCUUGGUGUGCUGCGUCCUAUUCGUAGCUGAAUCCAAAUCUCUGGGCACUACCACUGGUUUAACACAGAAGAAGAUCCUCCGGUUCAGAAGGGAAAUAUUCGGUUUCAAAAUCAGUGACAUCUUAAAAGCUAUGCUAAAAAUGUUCUUCGAUACCUUAAUGGAUAGCAUACCUAUCAUUGGCUGAAAGACUUCUCUCAAGCAUUUCAGUCACAUGAGAUUUUUAUUGAGCGAAUAAUGGUCAUGAAUAAAGAAUUUUAGAUUA